rnacentral:rRNA from 1 species
AUUGAACGCUGGCGGCAUGCCUUACACAUGCAAGUCGAACGGUAACAGGUCUUCGGAUGCUGACGAGUGGCGAACGGGUGAGUAAUACAUCGGAACGUGCCUGAUCGUGGGGGAUAACGAGGCGAAAGCUUUGCUAAUACCGCAUACGAUCUACGGAUGAAAGCGGGGGAUCUUCGGACCUCGCGCGGACGGAGCGGCCGAUGGCAGAUUAGGUAGUUGGUGGGAUAAAAGCUUACCAAGCCGACGAUCUGUAGCUGGUCUGAGAGGAUGAUCAGCCACACUGGGACUGAGACACGGCCCAGACUCCUACGGGAGGCAGCAGUGGGGAAUUUUGGACAAUGGGCGAAAGCCUGAUCCAGCCAUGCCGCGUGCAGGAUGAAGGCCUUUGGGUUGUAAACUGCUUUUGUACGGAACGAAAAGCCUCUUUCUAAUAAAGAGGGGUCAUGACGGUACCGUAAGAAUAAGCACCGGCUAACUACGUG